rnacentral:piRNA from 1 species
UAAUUCAUCGAGACAAGAAAA